rnacentral:rRNA from 1 species
AUGCCUCGAAGCCUACCUACGAUGUGCCGUACAUUCAUGCCCAGGCAAUUAGUCCAAGCGGUUGGCCUUGCAGAAUACUGGUAUAACACGUCAUUUCACUCAUUGCUUGGCAGGAUGUUGUUUGAGGUGAUCUAUGGAUAUCUUCCGAGGGAAUUUGGGGUCACUCAAGUGGAUAACUGCACUGUCCCAUGUCUUGCAGCUUGA